rnacentral:rRNA from 1 species
GAUGAACGCUGGCGGCGUGCCUAAUACAUGCAAGUCGAGCGAACGGACGAGAAGCUUGCUUCUCUGAUGUUAGCGGCGGACGGGCGAGUAACACGUGGAUAACCUACCUAUAAGACUGGGAUAACUUCGGGAAACCGGAGCUAAUACCGGAUAAUAUUUUGAACCGCAUGGUUCAAAAGUGAAAGACGGUCUUGCUGUCACUUAUAGAUGGAUCCGCGCUGCAUUAGCUAGUUGGUAAGGUAACGGCUUACCAAGGCAACGAUGCAUAGCCGACCUGAGAGGGGGAUGGGCCACACUGGAACUGAGACACGGUCCAGACUCCUACGGGAGGCAGCAGUAGGGAAUCUUCCGCAAUGGGCGAAAGCCUGACGGAGCAACGCCGCGUGGGUGAUGAAGGUCUUCGGAUCGUAAAACUCUGUUAUUAGGGAAGAACAUAUGUGUAAGUAACUGUGCACAUCUGGACGGUACCUAAUCAGAAAGCCACGGCUAACUACUU